UGACUACUCCCUCCGUCCGGAAUUACUUGUCGCAUAUAUGGAUAAAAGUGAAUGUAUCUAGAACUAAAAUACAUCUAGGUACAUCUAUUUAUCCAACAAGUAUUUCCGGGUGGAGGGAGUAUUAA
rfam:Triticum aestivum genome assembly, contig: Triticum_aestivum_CS42_TGACv1_scaffold_220820_3B